rnacentral:rRNA from 1 species
GUAGCGAAGUAGCUGAUUUCACACUGUCAAGAAAAGUCUCUAUCGAGGUUAAAGGUACCCGUACCGCAAACCGACACAGGUGGGUGAGGAGAGUAUCCUAAGGCCAGCGAGAGAACUGUGGUUAAGGAACUCGGCAAAAUGACCCCGUAACUUAGGGAUAAGGGGUGCCACCAUCAGGUGGCCGCAGAGAAUAGGCCCAAGCGACUGUUUACCAAAAACAUAGGUUUCUGCUAAGUCGCAAGACGAU